rnacentral:rRNA from 1 species
ACGCACGCUGGCGGCAGGCUUAACCCAUGCAAGUCGCGCGCAUCCUUCGGGGUGAGCGGCAGACGGGUGAGUAACGCGUGGGAAUCUACCUUUUGCUACGGAAUAGCUCCGGGAAACUGGAAUUAAUACCGUAUGUGCCCUUAGGGGGAAAGAUUUAUCGGCAAGAGAUGAGCCCGCGUUGGAUUAGCUAGUUGGUGGGGUAAAGGCCUACCAAGGCGACGAUCCAUAGCUGGUCUGAGAGGAUGAUCAGCCACAUUGGGACUGAGACACGGCCCAAACUCCUACGGGAGGCAGCAGUGGGGAAUAUUGGACAAUGGGCGCAAGCCUGAUCCAGCCAUGCCGCGUGAGUGAUGAAGGCCUUAGGGUUGUAAAGCUCUUUCACCGGAGAAGAUAAUGACGGUAGCCGGAGAAGAAGCCCCGGCUAACUUCGUG